rnacentral:lncRNA from 1 species
CUGAGCACUUGGGAGGCUGAAGCAGAAGCAGAAGGAUCUAGAGUCUGAGGAAAGCCUGAGCUACCUAGUGAGACCCUCCUCUUAAACAACAAGCCAGUCCGUGGUCACAGGCCUUUAAUUCCAGCUAUAAUAACACUCAAGGCUGACAGGCAGGCUGUGUGAGUUCCUGGUCACCCUGGUCUUCACAGCCAUUUUCAGAUCACCUACUGAUGCACAGUGCCCAGACAGGUCAGAAGAAGGAGUCGAAUCCCCUCAGUUGGAGUUCAUCCACUGGUACUGGGAACCAGUCUGAUUCUCUGGUCUUCUGUGACCUGGAACUCACCAAUCUAGACCUGCUGCAUGUAUGUCUAUGUGAGGUUGUUGAAUUCCCUAGAACCAGAGUUGCAAACACUUGUGAGUUGCCAUGUGGGUGCUGGGAAUUGCUCCCCCCCCAAAAAAAAAUAAAAAGGCGAGCAAGUAAGCAAGCAAACAGACUUGAGCAAACCAUGAAGAGCAAGGCAGUAAGCAGCAUUUCUCCAUUACCUCAGAGUCAGUUCCAGCUUCCAGGUUCCUGUCUUGGCUUCCCUCAGUGAUGGACUUAUACACUGUAAAAUGAAAUAAAACUUUUCAGUUCCAAGUUGCUUUUGGUUAUGGUGUUUUACCACAGCAAUACAAACCCUAAGACAGUGACCAUGCAGACUUCUAUUUUCCAUAACCUGGAGGCUGAGCUGUGUAUUAAGACUUUGGACACCUCCAGGUCCUGCCAGUGGAUCCCCU